GGGCGAUUAGCUCAGUUGGUUAGAGCGCACGAUUCACAUUCGUGAGGUCAGUGGUUCAACUCCACUAUCGCCCACCA
rnacentral:tRNA from 1 species